GUCACAACAGAGCGGCCAGAACACGGUGGU
rnacentral:piRNA from 1 species